UCCGCCUAGUAUUUCUGCUCGUUUCUCAAGUAAAAGCCUAUUUAGCUGCCCUCAAUUCAAAUUCUCGGCUUUUCGCCAUUAGAUUCAAAUUAAAGCACGGGAAAAAUUCGUUCGGUAAGCACGUGUUGUAUUGGGUGGCGGCCGGGAUAAAGUUUUAUCUUCCGACCUGAAUUCGGUUGGUACUCCACCCCUGGCUGUAUCUCGAUUAAUUUUUGAAGUAGAAAAAAAACAAAUCGUAACCGUCAAUGUGACCAACGAAAAGCAACAAGACUGUUCGAAUUUAGCGUGAGAAACUGGUGUUCGCUUU